AUGGUCAUAAUGAAAUUAAAAAAUUCAAACCAUUAUUCUCGUGUUUUAGUGGACGGGAAGUUUUAUCUGGAUUAUAAUAUAUUUCAACGUUUAUGGCCAGUCGGAACAUAAUAACCUUAUGUUAUCAAAUCUUAUUACAUUAAAAAAUAACCAAUGGCGAAAAUAAAACAAAAUAAAAAGAAUUCAGAAUUUUAUUUACACACAUACAGUUUGGGUUACAGGAACAAAUUAACCCACCGAAUUUACAUUAACUUUCCCUUUUCAGUAUACUACACGAAAUCGCAACGCGGUAAAAAACUGAUAUACAUCGACGGCUACACAUACUACAGCUACCGCGUGACCGGCGCGAAGGAGCGAUGGAAGUGCACCAACCACCGCUGCGGCGGGUUCAUGACGAUCAUUGGGAGUCAAGUGAUACGUCUGCGAGCGAUACUCCAAAUAAAAUAAAAUAAAGAUAAAAAAAGACUGUAGAUGAAUUAUAUUAAAGAAGGUUUUUUUUAA